GGGGAAGUGCUGACCAGUGGUCAGGAUGGCUUUGCUUUGGAAGGAGGAGGAGAAGGUGGGGCUGCCUGGGGGGCGGGAUGAGAAAGGGAGUAGGGCAUAGAGAGGAAAGAGGCCGUGUUGUUGCCCUGGGAGGAGGUUGAGGCAAAGGACAGAGCUCUUUAUGAGCUUGUUCCCAGGGAGCAGGCUCUUGCUUCAUCACACGAAGAAUUCAGAGUCAAGACAGGGAGGUCAAGACAAGGAAGGAGGACUUGGUAUGACAUCGCCUGCAGUAACUGAACAUGGAAUACAAGGUUUGGGAGGACGUCAGAGUCAAAGAGGCAGGAUCUCCUGAUGGACAAAGGCAACACAGGGGUAAAAAUUCACGACAUUCCUGAGAACAAGCAUCUCUCAGGACCACAUCCUGGUAUCUGGUCACUCAACACCGCUGAACACGACCAGGGGACUGACCCAAUUCCAGAUCUGGAACCGGAAAGCAACCGAGAGACUUGGGCAUCAAACUGUCCCAGAAAGCAAGACGUUUCACCGAGAAUCAUGAAGGGAUGUUUACAGGACAAAAGAACCAGCUGGAUGGGGAUCCCACUGGUGACAUUCGGGUAGAUUUGAGCAUCGAAGGGAACAGUGAGUAAAGGCAAAUGCAAUAGACAGAGUAAAUAAAAAUCUUCAAGUCCCUAGCGAAGAGAGAGAAAGAACAAAAAUAUCUGCCUCCGCUGGUGGUGGUGAUUACAACAAAUCCUUUCUUGGAAACUGAUGAUUAAAGGGAAGGAGUUUAGUUUUUAUCCUCUUAUAGGAAUAACUGUAUUUCAUCCUGCUUUAAUCAGGGAAUUUUAUUUUUACAUUAAAGUAUCAGGUAAGAAGAUUUAAGAGUGUUUAAAAUUGAGAAUCAGAGUUCCUGUUGUGGUUCAGUGGUUAACAAACCUGACUAGUAACCAUGAGGUUACAGGUUCAAUCCCUG